AAAACGGCAGUUGAAGUUCUGGCAGAGCACCUUGAAAAAACAGACUUGGAGCCGACGUACAAGCAUAUUAACAUAGAGGGUACCGGUCAUGCCCUGGAACACACGUUUUCGUGCACGGUGUUGAAUCUUUCAGUCGAGGGUAAAGGAUCUAAAAAGUCUACCGCCAAGGAAGAGGCAGCUUUACAGAUGAUCAAGCUAAUUUUGAAAAAACAAAAAAUAAUCAUUUUACGAAGCAAAUAGCACCGUUCUCUGUUGAGGAGAUAAAUAAAAUGGGAUCUCUUUUGGAUACUAAAAUAUUUGACUACGUUCAGAAGCUUCAUGAGCUAUGCGUGAAUUCUGGCGAGGAGCGCGAACCAAUCUACACGGUUUUAUCCGAAACAGCUGGCCCGACAAAUGAGCCGUUCUUUUCGGUCAGAUGUGAGGCCUUAAACAGCGUUGGAGUAGGUCACGGAUCGAAGCUUGAGGUGGCUCGCCAGUUAGCUUCUAAGACGAUCCUGAUUCGUUGGUGAGGAAAGAAAGGUAGGUAGCAUAAAUAUGCACCUAAAGCUAACAAGAGGAUGAAA
rnacentral:lncRNA from 1 species